rnacentral:lncRNA from 1 species
GGAUCAGCUCGGGCGGCGCCGGCUUCUGGACGGCCGUGGCCAUAGCGGCGGUGUUUGCCUCCUGCGUCGUGGCCCUGCUCUUCGUGGUCAUCAAGCGCUGUAUGCGGAAGCGGUCCGUCAGCGCGUCGCUUGUCAACGGCUACAUGUUCAGGUACUCGCCGGUACACCGGACGCAUGGCCGGGUCGAGCGCGUGCCGACGUCGGCCAGCAGCGACGACGAGUUGGAGGAGGUGGAGCGGCUGCUCUCAGAGUCCGGCCAGCCGGCGGCCGGCGUUUGAGACCACCGGCGUCCCGCCCCGCCCCGCCCCGCCCCGCCC